AAAUCCCUUGCCUAAGUAACCUGUUCGCUUAGCGAACAUCAUUUCGCUCAGCGAACUGCUAUGUUUUGAAAAUCUAUAAAUAGCAGUCAGAAGCCACUUUCUGAUAUCAUCUCAUUUUGUAAUAGUUCAUAUACGUGAAAAACACUAGUUUAAGAGUUCUAGAGGAGUUUUGUAAGGUGGAUUCAUCAAUACACUUGAGAAAUCAAGAGAUGUUCUUCAUCCC
rnacentral:lncRNA from 1 species